rnacentral:rRNA from 1 species
CGUAACAAGGUCUCCGUUGGUGAACCAGCGGAGGGAUCAUUAUAGAGUUUUCUAAACUCCCAACCCAUGUGAACUUACCUUUUGUUGCCUCGGCAGAAGUUAUAGGUCUUCUUAUAGCUGCUGCCGGUGGACCAUUAAACUCUUGUUAUUUUAUGUAAUCUGAGCGUCUUAUUUUAAUAAGUCAAAACUUUCAACAACGGAUCUCUUGGUUCUGGCAUCGAUGAAGAACGCAGCGAAAUGCGAUAAGUAAUGUGAAUUGCAGAAUUCAGUGAAUCAUCGAAUCUUUGAACGCACAUUGCGCCCAUUAGUAUUCUAGUGGGCAUGCCUGUUCGAGCGUCAUUUCAACCCUUAAGCCUAGCUUAGUGUUGGGAAUCUACUUCUUUAUAGUUGUAGUUCCUGAAAUACAACGGCGGAUUUGUAGUAUCCUCUGAGCGUAGUAAUUUUUUUCUCGCUUUUGUUAGGUGCUAUAACUCCCAGCCGCUAAACCCCCAAUUUUUUGUGGUUGACCUCGGAUCAGGUAGGAAUACCCGCUGAACUUAAGCAUAUCAAUA